rnacentral:rRNA from 1 species
GACGAACGCUGGCGGCGCGCCUAACACAUGCAAGUCGAACGAGAGAUGAGGAGCUUGCUCUUCAAAUCGAGUGGCGAACGGGUGAGUAACGCGUGAGGAACCUGCCUCAAAGAGGGGGACAACAGUUGGAAACGACUGCUAAUACCGCAUAAGCCCACGGCUCGGCAUCGAGCAGAGGGAAAAGGAGCAAUCCGCUUUGAGAUGGCCUCGCGUCCGAUUAGCUAGUUGGUGAGGUAAUGGCCCACCAAGGCGACGAUCGGUAGCCGGACUGAGAGGUUGAACGGCCACAUUGGGACUGAGACACGGCCCAGACUCCUACGGGAGGCAGCAGUGGGGAACAUUGCACAAUGGGGGAAACCCUGAUGCAGCGACGCCGCGUGGAGGAAGAAGGUCUUCGGAUUGUAAACUCCUGUUGUUGAGGAAGAUAAUGACGGUACUCAACAAGGAAGUGACGGCUAACUACGUGCCAGCAGCCGCGGUAAAACGUAGGUCACAAGCGUUGUCCGGAAUUACUGGGUGUAAAGGGAGCGCAGGCGGGAGAACAAGUUGGAAGUGAAAUCCAUGGGCUCAACCCAUGAACUGCUUUCAAAACUGUUUUUCUUGAGUAGUGCAGAGGUAGGCGGAAUUCCCGGUGUGGCGGUGGAAUGCGUAGAUAUCGGGAGGAACACCAGUGGCGAAGGCGGCCUACUGGGCACCAACUGACGCUGAGGCUCGAAAGUGUGGGUAGCAAACAGGAUUAGAUACCCUGGUAGUCCACACCGUAAACGAUGAUUACUAGGUGUUGGAGGAUUGACCCCUUCAGUGCCGCAGUUAACACAAUAAGUAAUCCACCUGGGGAGUACGACCGCAAGGUUGAAACUCAAAGGAAUUGACGGGGGCCCGCACAAGCAGUGGAGUAUGUGGUUUAAUUCGACGCAACGCGAAGAACCUUACCAAGUCUUGACAUCCCUUGACGAACAUAGAAAUAUGUUUUCUCUUCGGAGCAAGGAGACAGGUGGUGCAUGGUUGUCGUCAGCUCGUGUCGUGAGAUGUUGGGUUAAGUCCCGCAACGAGCGCAACCCUUAUGGUCAGUUACUACGUAAGAGGACUCUGGCCAGACUGCCGUUGACAAAACGGAGGAAGGUGGGGAUGACGUCAAAUCAUCAUGCCCUUUAUGACUUGGGCUACACACGUACUACAAUGGCGUUAAACAAAGAGAAGCAAGACCGCGAGGUGGAGCAAAACUCAGAAACAACGUCCCAGUUCGGACUGCAGGCUGCAACUCGCCUGCACGAAGUCGGAAUUGCUAGUAAUCGUGGAUCAGCAUGCCACGGUGAAUACGUUCCCGGGCCUU